GGGCUGUCGGGGGUUGCAGGGCCGCGCCGACUGCGCCUGCGCGAGCUUCCUCGUGCUGCGCCCAGGGUUCGGAAGGGGGCGCUACAGGGCGGCCAUGGAAGCCACGGCCAAUGGGCUGUGAGCUCAGGCCCCGGCGGUUCCUUGAAGACCAGGCGCCCGGCACUCGCCCGUCGCACGCCUUCCCGGGGUUACGACACCCCUCUAGGAGGCCCCGCCCCUCCCAGCGUCUCCGCCAAUGGGAGCGCGCUCCGAGGGAGUGGGCGGAGCCCGGGGUCCGGGCCGCACCUGGAGCGCGCCGCUCGUGAGUCUGUCCUCCCGGCCUCCCUGCCCACCCCCGUGCGGGGCCGCGUCGCUUUUCGACACAGCGCGAGCCCGGGAAGUCUGUCCGUCCUUGGUGGCAACCUGGAGAGACUAGGUCACCGUGACCGAAGAAGGAAACCGCGAGGCCUGCGAGACGGGAGGGCAAACUCCAAGUAUCAUCGACGCUGAGCAUCGAAGGAGUUUGGCCUCAUUGUCCCUGCAUGUCCCUGUCUGCGUUGAGGCAAUCCUGAGAGUGGAAGCACCCCGUUCAAGAUGACCGGCUUCUGAGCAUCGUGUUUUGUCUGAUAAAUUCCCCAGCUACGGAAACAGAAGUGUUCCGUCUGCACUCACUGUAAGUACAACCCAGGUCUCAGGUUGUAAGUACAACAGCAGGUCCUCAAACAACAUCAUUUCAUUCAGCUUCGUCUAGUUACAACGUGGAUGAGUGCGUAGGAGCUCGGCCCUGGUUCAUGUCCGUUAGCCUGUAGUAAAAUGGGCUUUGCUGUGCGUCGUCUCGCCACAGUUCCAAGAACUGAUCGACGACGCUAAGUGAGGACUGACUUCAUCAGUGCCCGGUCCUGUGACCCUGCGUCUGGCCCUCUGUUCUCAGGCCACUUCAUUUUGCUUUGAGGUGCUUCUCGUUUACCAAACUGUCCUCUUCCAGGACAGACGGUGCCCACGUGGACGGCCCCCUCCCUCACCUGCAGAGA